rnacentral:rRNA from 1 species
AUUGAACGCUGGCGGCAUGCUUUACACAUGCAAGUCGAACGGUAACAGGCCGCAAGGUGCUGACGAGUGGCGAACGGGUGAGUAAUGCAUCGGAACGUGCCCAGUCGUGGGGGAUAACGCAGCGAAAGCUGUGCUAAUACCGCAUACGAUCUAUGGAUGAAAGCGGGGGACCGUAAGGCCUCGCGAGAUUGGAGCGGCCGAUUUCAGAUUAGCUAGGUGGUGGGGUAAAGGCCCACCAAGGCGACGAUCUGUAGCUGGGCUGAGAGGACGACCAGCCACACUGGGACUGAGACACGGCCCAGACUCCUACGGGAGGCAGCAGUGGGGAAUUUUGGACAAUGGGCGCAAGCCUGAUCCAGCAAUGCCGCGUGCAGGAAGAAGGCCUUCGGGUUGUAAACUGCUUUUGUACGGAACGAAACGGUCUGGGUUAAUACCCUGGGCUAAUGACGGUACCGUAAGAAUAAGCACCGGCUAACUACGUGCCAGCAGCCGCCGUAAUAC